CCUCCUUAAAAAAUAAUCGCUUAGGAUAGGCGUUCACACGAAUAACUUGCUUUUACCUAAAUCAUUUCUUUACAGAUUUGAGAUUAAGGAGCGUUCUUUAACAUUUUUAUAAGUUCAAUCAAGUCACAUCAUAGUGUCUUUGUUUUUUAAUUUAGAUAUGAAUGAUGUGCAAAUGUCACCAAACCCGUCAUGUUUUAGAACAUAAGUUUGGUGUACAUACUGCAAAGUAAUUUUGGCGAAUGACAAUAGAUACUUGAAGAACAUUAAUCAUUAAGUUGUUUGAUGUAAUAUGGUCAAGUAAAUAAGCGCAUACGGUGGAUGCCUUGGCAGCUAGAGGCGAUGAAGGACGUAGUAACUUGCGAUAAGCUUCGGGGAGCCGGUAAACAGGCUUUGAUCCGAAGAUUUCCGAAUGGGGA
rnacentral:misc_RNA from 1 species